CGGCGAACGGGUGAGUAACACGUGAGCAACCUGCCCUUCACUUCGGGAUAACCAUCGGAAACGGUGGCUAAUACCGGAUAUGACACAGUUUCGCAUGGGAUCUGUGUGGAAAGUUUUUCGGUGGGGGAUGGGCUCGCGGCCUAUCAGCUUGUUGGUGGGGUAAUGGCCUACCAAGGCGACGACGGGUAGCCGGCCUGAGAGGGCGACCGGCCACACUGGGACUGAGACACGGCCCAG
rnacentral:rRNA from 1 species